ACGAAGGACUAAAUAUAUGGCAGGAGUCAUUUAGGAAAGGCUAGAGUUAAACUGUUGGGACCCGAAAGAUGUUGAACUAUGCUUGUGGUGUUUAAAGCCAAAGGAAACUUUGGUGGAUAGACUUAGGAGUGUUAACGUGCAAAUUACUUGCAAUAUAUGAGUAUAGGGGCGAAAGACUAAUCGAACUAUCUAGUAGCUGGUUCCACCUGAAUAUUCCCUUAGGAAGGUUGAAGUGAGAAAGUAGUGAAGAUUGGUAAAGAUAAUGAUUGGAUGUAAUGGAGAGCUUGACUUUUCAACAUUUUAACAAACUAUGAAUAGUCGAGAGAUUCAAAAAUAUACUAAUUUAUUAGGAGUGAGCAUAUGGGACUUCAAAUCGGCCAAGUCUGGUAAGCAGGACUGGCGAUGCGGGAUGAACCGAACAUACAGAUAAAGUAUCCAAGUCUUGCAUGAGGAGAACCAUAAAAGAGGUUCAUUCACAUUAAAUCCAGGUUGAUGGCCAUGGAAGUUGGAAAUCGCUAAGGAGUGUGUAACAACUCACCAAUCGAAUGGAUAAGCCCUGAAAAUGGAAGGUAUUAUAAUGAGAGAGAGUGAUGCUGUAUCCUUGUGGAGGCUGAGGCACACGAGGAGUACGGAAAUGCAUGGUGUCGACAAUACGUGAGUGAUAAAGGUAGAGAAGUAAUUUCUAUUGAAACAGACUUGAUUACAGAUCUUGGUGGAAGUAGCAAAUACUUAGAAGAGGAAAAAAAUAUCUAAGGACUGAAGAGGAGAAAGGUUCCUAGACAACAUUAAUUGGAAUAGGGUGAAUCAAUUCUCAAAGACAAACAGGGAAAUGCAAGAAUGAACUCAUACACAAGGCUUACAAAACAACCAUACCCAAUGAAUAUAUAAACUUGUA
rnacentral:ncRNA from 1 species